ensembl:snRNA U6 U6 spliceosomal RNA
GUGCUCGCUUCGGCAGCACAUAUACUAAAAUUGGAACUAUACAGAGAAGAUCAGCAUGGCCCCUGCACAAGGAUGACAUGCAAAUUUGUGAAGUGUUCCAUAUUAAA